GCAAGGUUUGUUUUCCUGAAGCCUCUUCAGAUAGCCGAUGUAAAUAUUUACACUCCUGCUGCGUGAAUUUCUCCCGAAAGGGUCCCGCUGCUCUCCGGGUGACCACCACGGGGACACCAAGAUUGUGGCAAAGCCUGACGCUGCCUCGCUCCCCUUGACACCUGUGGUUUAUGCAGGACAGGCACCGGACAGUCAGGCCUCCCCUCUGCUCAAACCUGGUCCCUGUGGUGAGACUCAUUGAUGAGGACGCAUUGAAGUACAAAAGAGGGGGACUGUGCAACCUGAUUCCCAAACAAACUGGCAAAACACCUGAGUCCUGGAAAAUUACUCACCAAAACACAAUGACUUUGCAAUCCUUUAAAUAGUGAUUCCAAGCAAGAACUCUUUGAGUGGCUUUGCCCUUGAUCACCCCUCUGUGCUGGGAUGUCUCUCAGGGUACCCCUGCGAGGAAGCACAUCUCAUGGCUGACACCUUCAGGAACAAGUUCAUCCAUGGACAAACUCCAAUAAGGAAGAAAUUCUGUCACUGACUUCAGCGUGAGCAUGAUUUGGUGUUCAGUUCUUAUAGUGGUGAUUCUGGAUUCCAAAGAUCACUGAUCCUCCAGGUCAAGUGAAAUUUUAAGUCAUUUACCAGCUAUCUUAGGCUAGGUCUUCCCUGCUGUUCCUGAAUAGGAACAAAACGUUCAGCUUUGUAGAUAUGAAACAUGAAUAGUUCUUCCACAGCUGCCUGCAAGCAUGCAAUUCCCACAGCCAGAGCUAGAAUAAUAUAUGGGAAAUGGGCUAUUAGAAAUGCAGUUUGGGGAGCACACCUAAUUUCUUUAUAAAGAAGGAUGUUUUUCCUUGGUUGAGUACAUGUAACGUUUGCCAUGGGUGAAUUUUAAAGGAAAAAAGGCACAAAUAUAUCAGACUUUCUGUCUGACAAGUUUGUGGCUCUCAGUCAGCAGAGGGAAGAAAAUAUCCACAUGACAAGAAUAAUAAUCCUGCUCCCUGGAUGCUGGCAGCAGUCUAACACACUGCAAUGAAAUCUAAGGAAAGCAGGGAACAAAACAUAGGCUAUGUCUUUUUCUUUCUGUAACAGGCUAGCUGGCACAGAAGCAUAACAUUAAAUAUAUAUAAAUACAUUUUAUUUUCUUGCUCAUAACAUUGUUGAUCAGAGUUUUAGCCUGAAGUAUUAAGUUUGCCUGUUGUUACCACACAAGAAACAUCUCCUAACAGGUAGCAUCCUAGAAGUGGAGUGAUGCUUAGACACAAUGCUAAUCUGUGUAACACACAAUACAGUAAUUAACUUCUGCCUCUAGGCAGACACUUAACUGUCUAUGUAAGUGGAUGAAAUUGUGCAAGGACAACACUAGAUUUGCAGCAACUAUGUAGAGUGAGCAUGAACAGAAUUCACAGGAGACGCUGAAGGAGAGAAACUGAGGAAAAUUCUACGCAAAAACCAACAGCACAAUGGCCAGGAACGUGAGAGCAGAACUGCUAGGGCUGAAGGAUGGAAGUCAAGGAUGGUGAUCUUUCAGAGAAGCAGUCAGCGGUGGCAAAUGUGGCAGGAAAAUUUCACUAAAAAGCAGCAUUUUAGUACUUAGAUGAAAACCACUCAGGCUAAAAAACCUGAUCUAUUUUUUUUUGGAGAAGACUGUAGCGAGGUGUAUACGCUGCCAGCUAAAGCAAUACUUAGAAGGCCUAGACAUGUUCUGUUGAAAUAAUGAGCAUAAAAAUGCAUCUUUAGUAUUAGACUAAUGAUUUGUGUGUUUUUGAGCAUCCAUGGCCCAGUGAACAUUCUCUGUCAUCCUAUGCAGGAAGAUGGGAAAAGCCCAGAAAUAGUGUUUAAAAUAUGUGUAGGCUGCACAGAAUACAGGUUUCUACUGUGAUCGUAAAAUGAAUGUUUGUUUAACACAAGGAUAAAAUAAUGACGGGUUAGAGAGUUCCUGUUAGAGAUAUAAUAGGAAAUGUAAAUUAGUAAGAAAAUGAAUAAUACACUGUAUAAGUAAAUAAAUGGAUGAAAGAAAAGCUAGAACCGCACUGGAAACUGUUGGGUCAUUCAGCACCUGUCUAUAGCAUUGUGAUCGCUAUCAACCACCCCAACCAACAUAAAGGAAGCAUCUCCACAGAUCCCUCAGUGAGCCUGUAAGCGGGGUAAAAGUGAGCAGAGUUAGGUCUCUGGAGGAGGUGGGUUGUAGCUGCUGGAGGAGUAGUGGCUCCACGGAGGGUCAGUAGUGGCAUCUGUGCCAAUGGCACACUUGAAGAGGGGAAGAAGACGGCUAGUUUGAGCUGCAGAUCUUAAAGGGGGAAUGAAAAUCAUCACUUGAGAGGACAGGAAUGGAAGUCAAUCAUUCCUGAUCUUGGUCAUCUGAAAAAAAUAUUUGAGAAAAUCUAUGCAGAAGAGAGGAGGACACUUCAACAUGGCAAACUGAUGCAUCACAGCCCAGUCCUACAUCAAGUCAGACGUGAGUGAAUAUCCACAAACACAACAUGAUGCUGGGCCAGGGACUAUGUUUGUAGACUUUGCACUGAGGGCAACAAAACCGAGCAGUCUGGAGCUGCCCCAUUAAACAGUUUAAAAUAUGCCUGUGAACUACUCAGUACUUGUAAAGUCAGUAUGCUAAUUUCAAAGGUUGUGUAACAUGAGUUACGAAGAAUAGAUCUGAACUUCCUUAUUCUUCAAAAAGCAUGUUCAUGCCUGUUUAUAAAUAUAAGAAACCUCUUACAUUUGCAGAAAAUGCAAAUGAUCUUUUAAUAAUAGGUGGUAAUGAUUGCACUGCCAUGUUUUCCUCUUACUUUUCAGAUUUUAUACUUCUUUCUUUUGUAAAAUCUAAACAACUGAAUAAUACAGAAAUUGCAAACAGAAACGA